AUUGAACGCUAGCGGGAUGCUUUACACAUGCAAGUCGAACGAGUUGCGGACUGGUGAGUAAUAUAUCGGAACGUGCCCAGUAGCCGCGUAUAACUCCUCGAACGCGUGGCUAAUACCGCAUACUAUUGUAUCGUCCGAUAUCGGUUUAGCUAGUUGGUGGGGUAAAGGCUCACCAAGGCAACGAUCCAUAGCUGGUUUGAGAGGACGACCAGCCACACUGGGACUGAGACACGGCCCAGACUCCUACGGGAGGCAGCAGUGGGGAAUUUUGGACAAUGGGGGAAACCCUGAUCCAGCCAUCCCGCGUGUAUGAGAAGGCCUUCGGGUUGUAAAGUACUUUUGGCAGAGAAGCGGUAUCUGAAGAAAAAGCACCGGCUAACUACGUGCCAGCCGCCGCGGUAAUAG
rnacentral:rRNA from 1 species